rnacentral:rRNA from 1 species
AUUGAACGCUGGCGGCAUGCCUUACACAUGCAAGUCGAACGGUAACAGGUCUUCGGAUGCUGACGAGUGGCGAACGGGUGAGUAAUACAUCGGAACGUGCCUAGUAGUGGGGGAUAACUACUCGAAGGAGUGGCUAAUACCGCAUGAGAUCUACGGAUGAAAGCAGGGGAUCGCAAGACCUUGUGCUACUAGAGCGGCCGAUGGCAGAUUAGGUAGUUGGUGGGAUAAAAGCCUACCAAGCCGACGAUCUGGAGCUGGUCUGAGAGGACGAUCAGCCACACUGGGACUGAGAAACGGCCCAGACUCCUACGGGAGGCAGCAGUGGGGAAUUUUGGACAAUGGGCGCAAACCUGAUCCAGCAAUGCCGCGUGCAGGAUGAAGGCCUUCGGGUUGUAAACUGCUUUUGUACGGAACGAAAAGCCCCGGGUUAAUACCCUGGGGUCAUGACGGUACCGUAAGAAUAAGCACCGGCUAACUACGUGCCAGCCGCCGACGUAA